AGAGUUUGAUCCUGGCUCAGAAUGAACGUUGGCGGCGUGGAUUAGGCAUGCAAGUCGAGCGAGAAGCGUAGCAAUACGUGGACAGCGGCGAAAGGGAGAGGAAUACAUGGAUACCUACCCUCAGGUUCAGGAUAGCUAUGGGAAACUAUAGGUAAUACUGAAUAAUAUCUCCGGAUCAAAGGUGUGAUUCCACCUGAGGAGGGGUCCAUGUCCUAUUAGCUAGUUGGCGAGGUAACGGCUCACCAAGGCGAAGAUGGGUAUGGGAUGUGAGAGCAUGAUCCCACUCACUGGGACUGAGACACUGCCCAGACACCUACGGGUGGCUGCAGUCGAGAAUCUUCGGCAAUGGGGGCAACCCUGACCGAGCGACGCCGCGUGCGGGAUGAAGGCCUUCGGGUUGUAAACCGCUGUCAGAGGGGAGGAAAUGCUAGAGGGUUCUCUCUCUAGUUUGACCUAGCCUCAGAGGAAGGACGGGCUAAGUUCGUG
rnacentral:rRNA from 1 species